AUAACUUUUGCAGUGAGGAGAAAAGAUAUUCAAAAAAUGUGUAAAAAUUGGGUAGCAAUACAUUUAAAGGCAAUGAACUUACCAUGAAUUAGCUUACGAAAUAGAUUUUCAGAAUUCCAUAAAAACAAAACAAACAAAGUCCAUGAACUGAACGAGAAAUAAAAUAAAGACAGACAAAACAUAGAGGUAUAUGCAUAAAUUAUAUUGAUAUUGAAAGAGAAAAAAAUCAGUGAAAAAG
rnacentral:misc_RNA from 1 species